AGUGAACGCUGGCGGUAGGCCUAACACAUGCAAGUCGAACGGCAGCACAGUAAGAGCUUGCUCUUACGGGUGGCGAGUGGCGGACGGGUGAGGAAUACAUCGGAAUCUACUUUUUCUUGGGGGUUAACGUAGGGACACUUACGCUAAUACCGCAUACGUCCUACGGGUUAAAGCAGGGGUUCUUCGGACCUUUCGCGUUUGUUUUAGCCGUUGUCGGAUUAGCUUGUUGGCGGGGUAAAGGCCCACCAAGGCGGCGAUCCGUAGCUGGUCUGAGAGGAUGUUCAGCAAAACUGGAACUGAGACACGGUCCAGAGUCCUAGGGGAGGAAGCAGUGGGGAAUAUUGGAAAAUGGGCGAAAGACUGAUCAAGACAUACAGCGUGGGUGAAGAAGGCCUUCGGGUUGUAAAGCCCUUUUGUUGGGAAAGAAAAGAAGCAGGUUAAAACCCCGCUGUUCUGACGGAACCAAAAGAAUAAGCACCGGCUAACUUCGU
rnacentral:rRNA from 1 species